AAAUAAAUUAUUAAGAGCACUUGAUGGAUGCCUUGGCGUUAAGAGGCGAUGAAGGACGUGGCAGGCUACGAUAAGCUGCGGGGAAUUGUCAACAGGUUUUGAUCCGCAGAUUUCCGAAUGGGGAAACCCAGCUAGUUAAGCUAGUUAUUGUAUAUUAAAUCAAUAUGCAAAGCAAACUUGGUGAACUGAAAUAUCUA
rnacentral:rRNA from 1 species